rnacentral:rRNA from 1 species
GGGGAAUAUUGCACAAUGGGCGGAAGCCUGAUGCAGCGACGCCGCGUGGGGGAUGACGGCCUUCGGGUUGUAAACCUCUUUCGCCCACGACGAAGCCGUAAGGUGACGGUAGUGGGAUAAGAAGCACCGGCUAACUACGUGCCAGCAGCCGCGGUAAUACGUAGGGUGCGAGCGUUGUCCGGAAUUACUGGGCGUAAAGAGCUCGUAGGUGGUUUGUCACGUCGUCUGUGAAAUUCCGGGGCUUAACCUCGGGCGUGCAGGCGAUACGGGCAAUACUUGAGUGCUGUAGGGGAGACUGGAAUUCCUGGUGUAGCGGUGAAAUGCGCAGAUAUCAGGAGGAACACCGAUGGCGAAGGCAGGUCUCUGGGCAGUAACUGACGCUGAGGAGCGAAAGCAUGGGGAGCGAAC